rnacentral:rRNA from 1 species
UAGGGAAUCUUCCGCAAUGGACGCAAGUCUGACGGAGCAACGCCGCGUGAGUGAAGAAGGAUUUCGGUUCGUAAAACUCUGUUGUUAGAGAAGAACAGCGCAUAGAGUAACUGUUAUGCGUGUGACGGUAUCUAACCAGAAAGCCACGGCUAACUACGUGCCAGCAGCCGCGGUAAUACGUAGGUGGCAAGCGUUGUCCGGAUUUAUUGGGCGUAAAGCGAGCGCAGGCGGUCAAUUAAGUCUGAUGUGAAAGCCCCCGGCUCAACAGGGGAGGGUCAUUGGAAACUGGUUGACUUGAGUGCAGAAGAGGAGAGUGGAAUUCCAUGUGUAGCGGUGAAAUGCGUAGAUAUAUGGAGGAACACCAGUGGCGAAGGCGACUCUCUGGUCUGUAACUGACGCUGAGGCUCGAAAGCGUGGGUAGCAAACAGG